UUUACAUGGCGGGCAGCUACACAUGCAAGUCGAGCGGGGUCAAGGUGCUUGCACUUUGACUUAGCGGCGGACGGGUGAGUAAUGCCUAGGAAUCUGCCUGGUAGUGGGGGACAACGUUUCGAAAGGAACGCUAAUACCGCAUACGUCCUACGGGAGAAAGCAGGGGACCUUCGGGCCUUGCGCUAUCAGAUGAGCCUAGGUCGGAUUAGCUAGUUGGUGAGGUAAUGGCUCACCAAGGCUACGAUCCGUAACUGGUCUGAGAGGAUGAUCAGUCACACUGGAACUGAGACACGGUCCAGACUCCUACGGGAGGCAGCAGUGGGGAAUAUUGGACAAUGGGCGAAAGCCUGAUCCAGCCAUGCCGCGUGUGUGAAGAAGGUCUUAGGAUCGUAAAGCACUUUAAGUUGGGAGGAAGGGUUGUAGAUUAAUACUCUGCAAUUUUGACGUUACCGACAGAAUAAGCACCGGCUAACUCUGUGCCAGCAGCCGCGGUAAUACAGAGGGUGCAAGCGUUAAUCGGAAUUACUGGGCGUAAAGCGCGCGUAGGUGGUUCGUUAAGUUGGAUGUGAAAUCCCCGGGCUCAACCUGGGAACUGCAUUCAAAACUGUCGGAGCUAGAGUAUGGUAGAGGGUGGUGGAAUUUCCUGUGUAGCGGUGAAAUGCGUAGAUAUAGGAAGGAACACCAGUGGCGAAGGCGACCACCUGGACUGAUACUGACACUGAGGUGCGAAAGCGUGGGGGAGCAAACAGGAUUAGAUACCCUGGUAGUCCACGCCGUAAACGAUGUCAACUAGCCGUUGGAUUCCUUGAGGAUUUAGUGCGCAGCUAACGCAUUAAUUUGACCGCCUGGGAGUACGGCCGGCACGUUUAAACUCAAAUGAAUUGACGGGGGCCCGCACAGCGGAUGCAGCAUGUGGUUUAUUUCGAAGCAACGCGAAGAACCUUACCAGGCCUCGACAUCUACAGAACUUUUCCAGAGAUGAAUGGUUGCCGUUCGGUGAACUUGUUAGGACAGGAGCUGCAUGGGCUUGUCAUCAGACUCUGUCCUCAGAAUCCUCGCGUUAAGUCGCGUUAACGAACGCACCCUUGUUCUUUAACUUACCAGCCGCGUAGAUGACGGCUUCUAAGGGAACACGUGCUGGUUGACAAAUCC
rnacentral:rRNA from 1 species